UCUACACAUGACUGACUUAACAAUCACUUCAAACAGAGACCACAGGCUUCCAUAUUUUGGCAAGAAGGUAGAAAGCAUCCCAAGAUGGUCCCAUAAAUUUGCAAUUGAUUUGCCAACCUAGAUGACAUCCUACAGAAAAUAACUUCCUUCUAGUCUUAUUGCAAAUUACAUAAAAUAAUGAUACUAGUCAAGAACAUCAAGUCUCAAGAAUUAGCUCUAGAAGGCAGUGUCCAGCUAUCAAAAAAGAACAUUAGUUAGCAUAAGAGGAUAAUUUAUAAAGCUGCAGCUAGAAUUUCUUCAAGGACUAACCAGUAAUAAAAACUCAGGUUUUGUAUGCUUUUUUUUCUGUUCAGCCUUCCUUCUCUCUCCAAGUGGUGCAGUUCAACUAUCACUAACUUCUAACCUUUUUGUUUGUUGUUCUUCUGCAGGGAACAUUGUCGUAAUUUCCAUAGCCAUCUUGAUCAUGCUGUUUUCCAUUCAACGUUUCGGCACAGAUAAAGUUGGUUAUUCUUUUGCCCCCAUCAUACUAAUAUGGUUUAGCUUCAUUGGCGGUAUUGGACUCUAUAACUUAAUCAAGUAUGAUUUGGGUGUUUUGCGUGCAUUCAAUCCAAAGUACAUAAUAGAUUAUUUUAAAAGAAAUGGAAAACGGGGAUGGGUCUCUCUUGGUGGUGUUGUGCUGGCCAUUACAGGUGAUUCUAUAAUAGAAUGAUUAGUUCUCAUUAUGAUUUUUUUUGGUUUUUAACCUGGUUUUUCCCUUUAUGUACUAAGAGUACCUGUAUGAAACAGGAACGGAAGCAAUGUUUGCUGACCUGGGUCACUUUAACGUCAGAGCCAUUCAGGUAUUGGCAUACAAUUUUUUUUUUCUUUUCACAGUUCCAACCAAGUCUGACGAAAAUUGUUGGAGUGAACGUGGAUGCAAGUGUUCUAUAUAUGCAUAAUAUCACACACCUUUUAGCAUGCUUUACAAGUUUGUGAUUUUAUUCUCCUGUAGUUCGUAUGAAGCUUUUUCUGGGUGUUACUCCUUCACGCCUUAACCAUCUCUCUUAGUCUCCUCGGAACAUUAUCUCAUAAAACCCUCACUAGAAUAUAAUCACCAUUUCUUUUUCCAUUUUUUCUUCUUGAGAGAAUAGAAUCCAGUCACCAUCACAUCAAAGAAUGUUGGAGUUCGACCACGUGGCAAGAGUUUGGUUUUGGUUAAUGGUCAAAGUUAACCCCCAUACUCCGACUGCCUACAGGGUUUUUGGAUCACAUAAAAGGGUUCAUUUGCUCACUCAGCAAAGUUCCCAUCUGAAUGAGCCUUGAUUAAAGGCCACAAGUAAUUAUUUUAGUAGCAGUAAGUAUUCAUGUCCUUGCCAUUUACAUACCGGAACCUCACUUAUUUUUGGUUCAAUUUCUUUUCUGCCAAGUUGUCAAGGCUGGUUGCCAGCCUGACACCAAUUCUCCUUUAACUUGGUGCUAGUAGACUCUGCUCUGUCAACCAUGAAAUACACAAUAAUUUAUAAUUUUGAAACCUAAAAAACCAACACACUAAAUUGUGGUUUCUUCUAAUUUUCACCAUCAUUAUAUCAUGUAGCAUGCCUGUAAGGAAAGUACAAUAAGCCUUAAAGGACCAAUACAAAGUCCAUGGCUCCAUGCAACUUAUGUCCUAAAGCCCCUGGGGAUGGAGGCCAAACCAUAUUUUAGCUCUGUAAACUUCGAUGUCAAGUGCCUUUCAUCAUAAACAUCUCCAACAACAUCACAUGUUCACAUCAAUAAUAUUUCAAAAUGUUAGAAUGGCUUUGUGCGACUGAAAUCACGGCCUCUCCAUGACACAGUUAGGUAUCAGCUGCUUGGGCUAUGUCCCACAAAUUUCUACAUCUUUUAAAACAAAAUAUGGCAUACUAUAUGCAUGUUUCACUUUGGCUUGCCGGAGUCUUGGCUCAUUUCUUCGUAUGCAUACUGCUGACAAGCUUUAUGUUAAAGUUGCCAAUUUUUUUUACUAGCUAGAUAACUUACCUGAAAUCUAAGGUUUAGAAAUUGUUUAUAUUGCAGCAUAGUAUGAGUAUCUUGAAUGACACCACUAACAAAAUCUCUUUCAAAUUACAGAUCAGCUUCUGUUUUGUUUUGCUCCCAGCAGUAUCACUAGCUUACAUUGGGCAAGCUGCAUAUCUCACCAAAUUCCCUGAGGAAGUUGCUGAUACUUUUUACAAAUCAAUUCCAGGUAAGGCAUCUAGAGCAUCAAUAGUGGCAAUUUCUACAAAUUAAUUUUUGGCUUAUAUACAAGUUAUAAAGGAUUAUCUUAAAUUGUUUGCAGAUCCACUAUUCUGGCCAACAUUUAUAGUGGCUGUCUCUGCUGCCAUCAUUGCUAGCCAAGCUAUGAUAUCUGGUGCAUAUGCAAUCAUAUCACAGUCACAAGCUCUAGGAUGCUUCCCAAGGGUUAGAGUUUUCCACACUUCUGCUAAAUAUGAAGGGCAGGUUUAUAUUCCUGAAAUAAACUUUGGACUCAUGGCUGCCUGUGUAAUAGUGACAGCUAGCUUCAGAACAACAGAAAAGAUCGGAAAUGCUUAUGGUAAGUAUAAAAGGUCAUAUAUUUGUCAUAAAAAUUAUCUAUUGGGUAUUUAUUUUGGUUUCUGAAGGAAAAUUUGGAUUCCUGAAGCUAUAUACAAAAUAACCUUACUAAAAUGACUGUGCAAAUAUAACUGAACAAACCAACUAGAACACCACAUGUACAGGACUUUGAUGUUUCCCCUUGUAUGGAAUGUCAUGACCAAUGACACUGCACAUCUGAGAGAUAUGCAUCUCUAGCAGAAGUGGAAAAAAUAAAAAGUCGGAUAACCAUUAGUAAAAUCCAAGCAAUUACCAAUUUAGAAAAACUCAAUCCAUGUUAGAAAGCUAUUCAAGAGUCUCUGCUUUACCUCAUGCGAACCUUGUCCUAUACCAUUUGAUCAGUAAACUUAUAUGGAAACCACUCUUUUAUAUCUUUUACUAAACAAUGUAGAAACAUGAAUAACUACUUGGCAUCUGCAACAGCUUAUUAUUAAUAACCAAUUAUCAGAUUCAAAUACUAGGCAAGAAAAGACUUAAACAUAGGGCACGUAUGUCAAAUUAUGGCAUUCCUAGGCAUAUGCAAGUUUUCCAGAACACAUUUUACCUUAUUAUAUUCCUUGAUUUUUUUUCUUUUUUGGAUAACUUAACUUGGAUGUAACUAGGUUUUUUGUAUAAUCUUAUUGUUAUUUCAACAUUGUAAACUUUUCUUUUAAAAAAAAGACAGAUCUGGUUCAGACCUCUGAUAAAAUAAUGAAUACAUAAACUUCAGAAAAGAAGAGCAGUAGUAGAUAUCAAGAAGGAAAAAAAAAAUGUUUGUUUGCAGAAUGAACCAAACACAAUGCCUGAUACUUGCAUUACCAAUUGACAUCUACAAGGGUAAAGAAACCAAAACAACUUCACAAAAUGAAAUGGCACAAGGAUCAAUCCCCUACACUUUUCAUGUUUUCAAAUCCACCCAGCAGGGAGAAUUCAUAAUUGGUGUUCCUCAGUAUUAUCAUCAAUUUUUUAUGAACAAAUUAUGGUGUUAGCUGUAGUCCUCAUAAUUGUGAGCAUAAAAAAGAAACUUUAGAAUUUCCUUCCCUCCUGCCAAUUACUGUUGCUUGUUUGGCACCACUCCCCCAAGGGGUUACCCUUGCAGGAGGUCAAAGAUUCCUAUGUCUUGCUCAAAAACAAUUUCCCUCCUCUCCUAGAAAUUUCAAUAAGAAAAAGAAAAAAGGCAGCUAGAUUGGGUUUCUUUACCACAAAAAGACAAGAAGGUCCUGUACAAGCAGUAACAGAGACCACUUGCUGCCCUUAACACAUCUUUGAUCUACAAAGUUGCAGAAGAAGAUCUUUUGUAAUUAUAAACAAAUAACUCGGAUCACAUUCAUCAACCAAUAAUAAAUCUACCAGGAUAAGAAUCAAAAGGGACAUCAAGAUGUAGUGAUACCAGCACUAUGGCUCCAACUUUCAAGUGCUGGUCCAUGCCUGUCAGCACAUUUCAUGCUGGGUCUGUACCCGCACAUAAUAUUGGGUCAGCAUCAGAUAGCAGGUAAGCUGCUCCAUACCAAGUUGUGCCGACUUAUAUCAACUGCUGCCACUUGGUGUCAAGCCAAAAUGGCUCUUAAGACUCUCUCUCUCUCUCUCUCUCUCUCUCUCACACACACACACACACAUAUGUAUGUGUGUGUGGCAUGUGGGCUGGCAUGACAUAGGAUCUGCUAUGCUGGCACUUCCUGUGCUAGCAGCACUUCAAUAUUUGAUCAACGCCAUAAAAAUUUAUGCCAGCUUCUACCAACUUCUCCAUUUUGUUUUUGAGACAUCUAAAGUAUCAUUAUAUAUCCCUGUGCAGGAAUUGCAGUGGUUUCUGUAAUGCUGAUCACAACAUCCAUGGUCACACUUAUUAUGAUCGUCAUAUGGAAAACGAACAUUUGGUUGAUUAUAUUGUUCUUCUCACUGUUCAGUGCAAUAGAGAUCCUAUAUUUAUCUGCAGUCCUAUACAAGUUUGUAGAUGGUGGAUUCCUACCACUGGCCUUCUCAUUUUUUAUGAUGCUAAUAAUGGGUAUAUGGCACUAUGUGCAUGUAAAAAGAUACAAAUUCGAGCUCAAACACAUAGUUUCAAGGGAUUACAUAACACAAUUAGCCUUGAAACAAGAUGUAAGAAGGAUACCAGGGGUUGGAUUUCUAUACUCCGAGCUCGUCCAAGGCAUCCCACCCAUAUUCAGCCACUUUGUUGAGAAAAUACCCUCCAUUCAUUCUGUUCUUGUCUUUGUUUCAAUAAAGCACUUGCCAAUCAGUAGAGUGGAAAUGGAAGAACGCUUUCUUUUCAGACAAAUUGGACCCAGAGACUACAGAAUGUUCCGAUGUGUGGUACGCUAUGGAUAUAAUGAUGUUCUGGAAGAGGCCAAGGAAUUUGAACUAUUGCUCAUUGAACAACUGAAGCAGUUUAUCCACCAUGAGUACUUCUUUAUUGAAAGUGGACCUGCUAAGCAAAGUGAUCCACUCCCUGAGGGAGAAAACCUUGCAAGCUCGGAGCUUGAAACAAGCGAAACCAAGCCACAAAGAUCAGGAUCAUCCACAGUGCAUGUUGAGGAAACAAUGAGACCACAAAGUUCACCUAAUGACUCUUCAAGAUCUAUCCAUUAUGGUAUCAGCAAAUGCUCAACAAACUCUUCUGGCAGAAAUACGGUUGCACAGAUUCCAUCAGUUGAAGAGGAGAAACAGUUUGUUCAGAAAGAAAUGGAGAAGGGGGUGGUAUAUCUAUUGGCAGAAGCUGAAGUCGUAGCAGAGAAUAAUUCCUCUAUUGUCAAGAAAUUAGUGGUCAACUACAUCUACAAUUUCAUAAGAAGAAACAUCAGGCAGGGAGAAAAGGCUUUGUCAAUUCCACGCAGCAAGCUGCUCAAGGUGGGAAUGACAUAUGAAAUCUAGAACAUCCAAACAAGCUUCAUUGUCAGUUGUCACAGUAUUAUCCAGAUAAUGUCCCACUUGUAUUCCACAACAGUGUGAACUGUGCUAUAGUUUAUGGCAACUGAUGAUGGGUUGGCUGGUAAAGCCAAAAACUCCUGUAACAAUAAAUGACCAGAAUUCCAUGUGAAAAGAAAUCAAUCACACAACUAUGCUUCUGUAUACUUUGGACUCCUAAGGUAUAAUAUAGAGAUUAAGAGGCAUGCAUUAUGAUAUGCUUGAAGAUAUAUUAUUUCAAUAAUUUCUCUUUGGCCAUCAGCCCAGUUGUUCCCAUGAUGAGAGAAAACAGACUUCAGAUUUAUAGAUCAAUAUGUCAUUUACAGAUUUCUUAUUGCUUCUGAAAAAAAGAAAUGGUGACAACCUACCAAACUUAGUCACCAAAAUCUUUUAAAAUAGAAAGAUUAACCAAAUAUGUGGAAAACAGACCACCUUACAUUUAUUCGAGAAAAACAGACCAUAUGAUUCCAGACCACUAUAAUAUUCUGGUGUUAAUAUUCUAACAGUCCCUCAUGAGAAAAAUGAAGAGCAAGACCUGGCUUUCAUAAUUGCAUUAGGAACUGGACUAACACAUUAUAAUAACCAAAAAUAUUCUUUAAUGAAAGAGACUGGAAUGUAUAGUCAACUUGCAAUAGCACUGGCUUGUAGAUCAUUCAUCAGGGAGGAAAAUAAUUUUAGUCUCCUCCAAUAAUGGAGGUAAUCAAAUUCCUCGUUCUCCAGUGCAGUAAGGAACUUCAUGUAGGUAUAUUUUACUUAAGUAACAAUUCAACAAGAGAACUUCAAUAAUUUAUGAUGAUAUUAAUUAAUGACAUAAAGAACAUGCAAUAUGCAUAAAUUUAUAUUUAUUUAUGGAGCUUCAGAUUUGGGUUGCUUGGUGUAUGGCAAGUUAAACUUAAUAAAACUUUGUUUCUGAUUUUGUAAUACAGACCCAGUGGGGUAGCUUAUUGGGCCUAUUUUCUAGGCUCAAACCCUAAAUUUUGGAUUGGUUUUGUUUUGGGUUGGUGGAUUAUCAGCCUCAAAGCUACCCCCACAGGGAAGCUCAAGGUCAUGCAUCCUAAUUCAUACAGACGAGUGUACAGGAUGGCACAAGUUCGAUUGGGCUCAUCCCAGACCUGCCUGCCCAGCCCACCCAUUGGAUAGGGUUGGGUUGAGGUUUUAUAAACUUAAUGCUUGGGCUUAACGAUCCUAACCUGACCUCAAGUAGGUCUGGGUUAGGGUUGACUUUCAACCCAACCCUAACUGAACCCAAAUCUGAUCCAACUUGACUUAACCCCUCUUAACUUGAUAUAUAAAUACAUAAUUCAUAUUCAUAUUUCAUACAAGUUAUUUAUAUAGUUAUAUACAUAUGUUUUCAAUUUCAUUAACUUAUAUAUAACUAUACAAUUGAACUUUAUGAAUGAUUGAGAUCUCGAUUCAAUAAAUAUCGAAUAAAAAUGUCCCAAGCAUUUCUCUAAAAAAUUUCUAUUCAAUAUUAUUAAUGGAAAAGAUAAUUUUGUAUUUCUUAUUUUCAUCUCCAUGAAUACAACUCUUUAAAUAGACUAAAAGAGAAUUGCUACUAUGGUAUCUUUACAAUUAUAUCCAAACACAUAUGGAAGCUAUACAAUUGUGUCUAAUAAUCAAAUAAGUAUGGUAAAUUUGAUCUUGGAAUCUCUAUAAUAAUCACUACCAUUAUAGCCAUGAUAUUUACGACUAUAAUAGCUAUGAUAUUCUGACCAUAACAACCAUGAUAUUCUGAUCUUGAAAUCUUUGAGAAUAGCCAUGAUAUUCUGACCAUAAUAGUCAUGAUAUUCUGAUCUUGAAAUCUUUGAGGUCAUGCUUACCAUAGUAGUCAUGAUCUUGACAACUCAUUAUAAUAUUCACCAUGAUUCUAUAUUUUAUUCUUAACACCCCCCCUCAAGCUGAAGCAUAGAUAUUAAUCAUGCCCAGCUUGUCACAAAUAUAAUCAAUCCUAGUCCGAGUAAGACUCUUUGUAAAUAAAUCGGCUAGUUGAUCCUCUGAGUGUAUGUAACUGAUAGAAAUGAGCUUUUGCUGAAUUUUCUCCCUCACAAAGUGACAAUCAACUUCGAUGUGUUUCGUCCUCUCAUAAAACAUUGGAUUUGAUGGAAAUGAGCUUUUGCUGAAUUUUCUCCCUUACAAAGUGACAAUCAACUUCGAUGUGCUUCAUCCUCUCAUGAAACACUGGAUUUGAUGCAAUAUGCAUAGCUGCCUGAUUAUCACACCACAGCUUCAUAGGAGAAGAAUCUAUAAGAUCAAUCUUUUCUAGAAAAUAUCGAAUCCACAUCAAUUCACAUAUUGUCUAUGCCAUGACCUAGUAUUCUGAUUCUGCACUUGACCGAGAGAUUAUAUUUUGUUUCUUACUCUUCUAAGAUAUUAAAUUUUCUCCCAUAAAUACACAAUAUCCUGUUGUAGACUUCCUAUCAUUAAGCAAACCUGCCCAAUCAGCAUCAGUGAACCCCUCAAUCUGUAUACCACCAUGAUCUCCAUACACAAUACCCUUUCCUGGGGUUCCUUUUAAGUAUCUCACUAUACGGAUUAAGGCAUCCCAAUGUACAGUAGUGGACGCUAUCAUGAACUGACUCAAUACACUCACAGGAAAUGCAAUGUCUGGUCGAGUGAUUGUGAGGUAGUUGAGUUUUCCAACAAGUCUUCUGUAUUUCUCUGGUCCAGUAAACAUCUCUGCUUCAUCUACUACAAGUUUGAUAUUUGGAUCCAUAGGAGUUUCGCAAGGCUUUGCUCCAAGUAGACCAAUAUCUGUUAAAAGAUCUAGAACAUACUUUCUUUGAGAAAGAAAUAUAUCUUUUUUUGAGUAAGCUAGUUCAAUCCCAAGAAAGUAUUUCAGUUGUCCCAAAUCUUUUGUUUGAAAACUUGCCUGAAGAAACUCCUUUAGUGAAGAAAUACCCUGUGCGUCGCUCCCUGUAAUCACAAUAUCAUCAAUAUACACAAUCAAAAGGCAAAUAUCAACAUCCCCCCACCUCCACUUAGAAAUUUCAAUGAGAAGAAAAAGAGAAAAGGCAAACUUAUUGAGGUUCUUCAUCAAAAUAAUAAAUGGUCUUAGUUAUCAGUGGCAUAAAAAGGCCAGCAUUACCCUUCACCACUUCCCUAAAUUUAGAAAGAUGUAGAAGAUGGCAUUAGGAUAAGAUCAAUCAAUAAUCAAUAUACUAGUAUAAGAAUCAAGUAAAAGGUAUUAGGAUGUGGCAUCUCAAAACGUUACACAGGACUGAACAAAUGAUAAUUGACACAUCAAACAUUUAUUUCAGUUGCUGCUAACUUUUCUGCUUUGUUUGUCAAAACACCUCUGGAAAUUUUGUAGCUCCUUUCGCAGGAUUCCCAGUGGUUUCUGUUAUGCUCAUUGCAACACUCAUGGUCACAGCCAUCAUGCUUUUCAUAUGGGAAACAAAGAUUUGGUGGAUUGUACUGUUCUUCUCUGUGUACACUAUUAUAGAGAUCGUGUAUAUAUCUUCACUUCUGUACAACUUUGUAGAUGCUGGUUUUCUACCACUGGCCUCAUUUUUCAUGAUGCACAUAAUGGGUAUCUGGCACUAUAUACACAAAAAGAUACAAGUUUGAGCUCAAAAACAAAGUAUCAAGUGAUUACACAGCAGAAUUGGUCUUGAAACAAGAUGUAAGAAGGAUACCUAGAAUUGGUCUCCUAUACUCAGAACUUGUGCAAGGCAUUGCACCUAUAUUUUCCCACUUUGUUGAGAAAAUACCCCCAUCCAUUCUGUCCUCAUGUUUGUGUCAGCGAAACACUGGCCAAUAAGUGAAGUGGAAAUGCAGGAACACUGUCUUUUCAGACAGGCUGGGCCAAGAGACUGUAGAAUGUUCCAAUGUGUGGUACGCUAUAGAUAUAAAGAUGUUUUUGAAGAGGCCAAGGAAUUCGGAAAUUUGCUCAUUCAGCAACUGAAACAAUUUGUCCACCACAAGUACUUUUUGAAAGUGGGCCUGCUAGGCAAAGUGAUCCUCUGCACGAGGCAGCAAACCUUGCAAGCUCUGCAUUUGAAACAAAUGACACCAAGCAAUGAAGAUCAGGAUUGUCCACCAGUGCCCACCGAAGAAACACUGAAACCAUGAAAUUCACCUAAUUUCUCUUCAAGAUCUAUUCAUUAUAGGACAAUCAAUGCUCAACAAACUCUUCAGGCAAAAUUGCUGUUGGUCAAACCCAGUCGGCUGAAAAUGAGAAACAGUUCAUUCACAAAGAUCUGAAGAAUGGGGUGAUGUAUCUAACGGAGAAACUGAAGUGGUGGCAGAGAACAAUUCCUUUAUUAUCAAUAAAGUAGUUAUUAACAUCUGCAAUUUCAUGAGGAGAGACUUCAGGCAGGAAGAAAAGGUUUUAUCAAUUCUGCAGGGCAAGCUGCACAAGUUGGGGAAUAACAUAUGAAACUAGGUUCUGUCCUAAUGAGAUUCAUAAUCACUAUAUCAUCCAAAUAAUAGUCUACUUGUAAUCCACAACAAGGUUAUCAUCAUGGAGAGGUGAUGAUGGAUUGGCUGGACAAUCUAAAGCUCAAGUAAGAAUAAAUGACCAUAAUCCAUGGGACAAGAAGUCAAGCACAUAAUGCAAUAUGAUUCUCUUAUUCUAGACCAUAAAUUCUCGAAUGUGCCCAUAUUUGCUUUAUAAGAGGGGGCAGACAUUCUAAUAUGCUUGAGAAUAUCUUAGAUCAAUAUUUUCUCUUUAGCUUUCCUUUUAAUUCAUCUACCAUUUGUCCCGAUGAUGAAAGAAAAGAUAUUACUAUGUCUCCCUCUGCUAAUAAAAACCUACCACAUUUAUUAGUAAGAACUUCUUAAAUGAGAAAUAUCUUUCUCACCUAUGUUUGCAAUUUCAUUUGACUGAACCAAAAUUUUGAAACUACUGCUUUCUUUUUUUUCUUUUGCCGGGUGGUGGGGGGGCAUGCAACUUGUGUUCAUGAUAUAAACACAAGUUCAUAAGCCUUACCAAUUCCUUUCAAAUUUUUUUUUGUAUAUUUUAAUCAGAAAAAAGGGUCUACGAAGCUCGAGGCCCGACCCAAGAUAUGUAAGUACCCGGCUCGGCGCCUGACUAAUUUCACUUUUAUCUUUCGUUGAGCCCUGCCCGAACCUGGCAUGGCCUGCCCAUUGAACAGGUCCAAUAUGCCCCAAAACCAACUAACGGUUUACCAAUAUCGGUAAGCUUUUCACCGAAACACUUCACAUCUUUUUGCUCCUAAAAUGCUGUGCAACUCAUUUUGAUCAGCUCCUGCAUGGGCAAUUAGCUUUCCAUUCACCAAGUAAUAAUGCAUGAGAAAAAUAUCGACCAAAGCAACAAAAGCAAAGCAGCAGGUAUUUCUGCUAUUGAUCUUGGCAAUUAUAAAGUUUUAGGCUUAUACUAUUUCCAUCUACAUUUCUCUAAGCACCUCAACUGGUUCUAUAAACGACCGAAAUGGGUAUACGCUACAUCAGUUCUACUCAAACAAGCCAUAAUCCUUCCAAAGCAUUACAUCAAACGGUUUACAAGCAUUGCGUUCCCAAACUUAAGAGGAAACCCUUGUGGAAAUACAGGAAGAAAAAAGAAAUCACUGCGAUGGAAAAAAAAAAAUCCUCGAUGAAUUAUUAAAAAAGCUUCAGAAUCAGGGAUUUACCUUUCGAUAUGCGCAUCGGAUCGUAAAGAGAGAUCGCUCGCUCGAAGAAAAACCUGUGGCGGUAUGGAUGAGCCCAUCUGCGUCUACAGGUGCUACCGACCUAUCGCGCAGUACCGGAUCCGGUUUCUACUAAGUUUGGACCCGGAUUCACCGAGAACUCCCUUUCUUUAUUUUUUUUCCCCUUUUUGGGGUUGUGGUGGGGGAUCGAGGACACACCAAACUCUUUAUGCACCACGGACGGUGCACGAAACCU
rnacentral:lncRNA from 1 species